rnacentral:rRNA from 1 species
AUCAACGCUGGCGGCGUGCCUCAGACAUGCAAGUCGUACGAUUAAAGCUCUCUUCGGAGAGUGUAUAGAGUGGCGCACGGGUGAGUAACACGUAAGUAAUCUACCUUCGAGUGGGGAAUAACAGUCGGAAACGACUGCUAAUACCGCAUAAUGCAGCGGCACCUAAUGGUGACAGUUGUUAAAGCAUUUAUGUGCUUGAAGAGGAGCUUGCGGCAGAUUAGCUAGUUGGUAAGGUAAUGGCUUACCAAGGCAACGAUCUGUAGCCGACCUGAGAGGGUGGUCGGUCACACUGACACUGAAUAACGGGUCAGACUCCUACGGGAGGCAGCAGUCGGGAAUUUUGGGCAAUGGGCGAAAGCCUGACCCAGCAACGCCGCGUGAAGGAUGAAGUAUUUCGGUAUGUAAACUUCGUAAGAAUGGGAAGAAUAAAUGACGGUACCAUUUGUAAGGUCCGGCUAACUACGU